GGCCUUAUGAGUGUAACGAAUGUGGGA
rnacentral:piRNA from 1 species